CUCCUGCCACUGCACCCAGCGGCUCGUUGCCAUGACCGUAUCCAGCAAGGUACCUCCAAUACGCACCCUUUCCCAUGCCACACAUGCUAUUUUACUCGGAGAGGCCAUUGCUCACGUAUUGGAUUUUGGCAUCUGCUCUGUUGCCGUGCUUCAGUUCUUUGUUGGAGGAACCUUAAUUUUGUUUGCUUCGGUUGUUCUUUGAUCUUAGCUCUCAGGUCCCAACAUAUACAUUACAAUAUGUUUGUUAUCUGUAGGGAUGGAGUGAAGAAAUUGAAUUGGGAUCAUGGAGUAAAUCAAAUGAGGAUGCAACUCAUGUUCGUGUAGGUAGUCAUUCAGACAUUUCUUAACUCUUUAGCAAAUAGUUCACAUGGUAGAGCCAGCCGUGGUGCACAUGCUAGAUAGUUUUAGUAUUCAGUCUUUCAGUUGCUGCUAGCUCUACUCUGCUUUGUCCUUUCGUAAUGGUAAUGUAGCAGCUGUGUGACACGAUUGCAACGCGGAGUCUUCACUGCAUAUUACCUACCGGGAACAGAUGUGUUUUUGUCGACAAAAAAUUCUAACCUGAAUUUGCUAUUCAGGUGGCAAAUCCAAUUAUUUAUGUAUUGUAUUUGCAUUUUGCAGGACAAUUUGGCUGCUAAAGUGCUACAUCGUAUCUCACUAGACCUAUUGAGCAAGUGGUUAUUUUUCAUUUAUAUACCAUUCAGAUUUCUAUAUGCACUGCACAUAGAUUCCUUGCAUUGUCCAGUUACCAAUUUUUGUAAGGGUCAUACUUAC
rnacentral:lncRNA from 1 species